rnacentral:rRNA from 1 species
CUCUUGAGAGCGGCGGACGGGUGAGUAAUGCCUAGGAAUCUGCCUGGUAGUGGGGGAUAACGUUCGGAAACGGACGCUAAUACCGCAUACGUCCUACGGGAGAAAGCAGGGGACCUUCGGGCCUUGCGCUAUCAGAUGAGCCUAGGUCGGAUUAGCUAGUUGGUGAGGUAAUGGCUCACCAAGGCGACGAUCCGUAACUGGUCUGAGAGGAUGAUCAGUCACACUGGAACUGAGACACGGUCCAGACUCCUACGGGAGGCAGCAGUGGGGAAUAUUGGACAAUGGGCGAAAGCCUGAUCCAGCCAUGCCGCGUGUGUGAAGAAGGUCUUCGGAUUGUAAAGCACUUUAAGUUGGGAGGAAGGGCAGUUACCUAAUACGUGAUUGUUUUGACGUUACCGACAGAAUAAGCACCGGCUAACUCUGUGCCAGCAGCCGCGGUAAUACAGAGGGUGCGAGCGUUAAUCGGAUUUACUGGGCGUAAAGCGUGCGUAGGUGGCUAAUUAAGUCAAAUGUGAAAUCCCCGAGCUUAACUUGGGA